rnacentral:lncRNA from 1 species
ACUUUCUCCUGUAUUCACAGUCUCUUUGUUCUUUUGUAGCCCUGUUACUACCUUCAAUUAAUGAGAGAGGAUUUUAGGGGCUGGGAGUUGUAAGCUUGUAAAAUAACAAUUCUGUUUCCUCAAACUAUGUUGAUGCUCACUCUGCCUUAAUUUAUUGUUGUACAUUUUGCACAUUAGGUAUGGAUGCUAAUAAAGGCAGGACUACUCCAGAGCUGAGGGAGGAAGGAGGCUGAGUGUUUUGUAAUUCAACCCCAAAUAGGAAGUAAUUCUCAUUGGUCUUUUCUUCUUCUACAUGUUCUCCAAACUGAGAUUGUUAAUCCUCCUGCAGAGGUCAGGGAGGUGAGGAGGGUGACUCCUAGGCUUGACCCUGGAGGGCUCCUGUGAGUUCCACCCAAGGGUCUAGAUUUCUGGCAACUUCAGUCAGUAGUUCUCCUUGUCCAGAAUGAACAAAGGAGAGAGUACCAGAAGGGCCUCCCUUAUGGCAGGGGAUUGGGAGUUUGGUGCAAAUGAUGGGAUUAACGACGCUGCUCUGUACUGCUCUCUCCAGGAAUUCUGUGGAAUCCCGAGAGAGGCUCCCAGAGCUGUGGCCAAGAGGACAGGAGAGUCAGGGGAGUGAGGAGCGGUUCCCCGUUUUGGCCAGCGGUAGAGAAACAGAUCUAAGGCCCAAAUCUAGACGUGGGCUUCUUAGCACGUCUAUAAAAGCAAGGGAGGGGAAAAUGUUUUUUAAAACCAAGCAAGUAAUAAUAACACGGACUUGAUUUUUAGGAGUCACAAUGAUACUCUAUCAUCCUUCCAGCGCUCCAGACAGGAGAUGGGGCGGGAAGUUUGCAGUCUACACCCAGAGGCCUGUCCCCUUUCCCUGUAAUAAAUAAAAAGAAAAGAGGUUGGUUUCCAGGGACCGGCCAGCUGGAGGAUGGUGGGACCCCCAGUGGAGGCCAAACUCAGGUCGUGUCAGAAGAGCUUUCCUCCCUGCCUCCCCUUUAUUUCUCUUAACUUACACUCUAGAUAUUUUCAACGAUUUGUUUACGGUGCUGCCGUAAGCUGCACAGUUAACUCUCCCCGCGCCUGGGGCGGCCGGGGAAUUUCCCAGCACCCACGCCGGGUCUGGACCCGGCCCGCGGGAGCGCCCAGCGGGGUCAAGGGAAUCCCGGACUCAAAAAGAACGCGCGGGCGGCCCGAGCCUCGGCGGCGGCGGCGGCGGCGACGGCGGCGCUGACACCUCCCACCAUGGACAGCUUCGACUUAGCCCUGCUCCAGGAAUGGGACCUCGAGUCGCUGUGGUGAGUCCCGGUGCCGGCGCCCGGGCAGGCGGGAGCGGCGAGGCGCGGCCGCGGCGGCCCGCGCGCCCUCACCUGGGCCGGG